UGGGGAAUCUUGCGCAAUGGGGGAAACCCUGACGCAGCGACGCCGCGUGGAGGAUGAAGGUCUUCGGGUUGUAAACUCCUUUUCUUGGGAAAGAUGAUGACGGUACCCAAGGAAUAAGCCACGGCUAACUCUGUGCCAGCAGCCGCGGUAAGACAGAGGUGGCGAGCGUUGUUCGGAAUUACUGGGCUUAAAGGGCGAGUAGGCGGUGGGACAAGUCUGAUGUGGAAUCCUAAGGCUUAACCAUAGAACUGCAUUAGAGACUGUUUUACUUGAGUCAGUGAGGGGAGGGCGGAAUUCCCGGUGUAGCGGUGAAAUGCGUAGAUAUCGGGAGGAAGGCCGGUGGCGAAGGCGGCCCUCUGGCACUGUACUGACGCUGAGGCGCGAAAGCGUGGGGAGCAAACAGG
rnacentral:rRNA from 1 species